rnacentral:lncRNA from 1 species
CAGGUAUCCAUUGACAGGUUAUCAAGCGUUUUGCAUAUGUUUGGCUUCUAUUGAUUCAAAGCUGUGCUGCACGCUGUAGAUGGAAUUGCUGGAGCCUUUUGUUGUUCAACCUCUGAACAGCAAGUCAUCGAAUUGACUAAAUGUAUUGUUCUGCAAUUUUUUCUCUAAGGCAUCACCUGAAGUGGAAUAUAGCGUAGAUGGAAUUUCUGAAGCCUUUUGUUGUUCAACCUCUGAACAGCAAGUCAUUGAAUUGACUAAGUGUACUGUUCUGCAAUUUUUUCUCUGAGGCAUCACCUGAGGUGGAAUAGGAAUAUUGUGAACGCGAUAGAAGUAUCAUUAUUCAUUUACUCUGCUAGUUAAGUUUCCUUAAUGCAUAUGAUGGAAAAUUUUGUACAUUAAUAUGCCUGUGUAAGCAUCUAACUUCAUCAACUUACAUGCCCCAUUUUCUGACAUUUGAUAAUCCGUACAGCAUUGUGGUACUCCCACAACUAUGAUAUUGCAUGACAAUAUAUAAUGCAAC